rnacentral:lncRNA from 1 species
GGAAGGCUGUGGCCACCAGCCUGAAAGGAAAAAAGGAGAAGGGGCAAGAACAGAGUUUGGCUAGAAAAAUCUCAUCCUGAGUGAGGUAACCCAGACACAAAAGAACACCCAUGUUUGGAUCUGAACUAUCCCCUGAGGCUGGACUGAUAAAGGCUCAAUUACCUGCCUGGACUCUGUAGCCAGAAGUACUUUAUGUACCUCUCUGAGCAAGAAAUUUGUGAAGAAUUCCCGGGGAAAGUAAUGGAAAACUACAACUAUCAUGUCAUGUCAUAAAAAGUAAAUAAUCUACUACUAUACAGAAGGUAGCUUUGUGUCAAGACUUGACACUAAAUAAGAUAUUGAGAUAACUUUAGGAAGUACAUAUUAAAUAUGAGAUUGCACGGAAGAAGUAGAAAUGGAUCAAAAUUGGAACUAAUGUUGAAGAGAUAUUGCCAAUGGACUGAAUUCAUAUAUUGAAGAAAGUGACAUCAUAUCUUCAGUAAAAUUAUAGAAUAUAAUACAGAUAUUCUACAGUGACUUCCAGGAAGAUAUUAACUGAAUACCUAAAAAAAAAAUAGAAGAAAUUAAAACACAGCCUGGAGACACUAUGGUGUUGGUUCUUUUUCUAUAUUCGAAAAAUAUUCCCAUUGAAAUGCAUGUGAUAUUUAAUAUUGUUUUCCAACAUGACAUGGUCUAGAAGAACCCAGGAGAGAAAGCACCCCCCUUCUUACUCUAUCUGCAAUGCCAAAAAACAGCUGAUUUCUCCUUCAGCAAGUUAAUGGGGGUGAAGACUAUACUUUCAAGGACCAUUCUUAUAAUUCCUUAAAUGAGAAUUGUUGCGGAUAGCCCUGGGGCUAAUUGUAUUUUAUGUUAAUUCUGUUCUCCUGUGAGGCUUCAAACAAGGAAUGAAUCUGCACUCAGGCUGCCACCAGAAAAUAUGAGCUGGUUAAAUGUGAGGUGUAUCUUCCCACCUCAAAUAUUCAAUCAAGAAAAAUCCUCACAAAUAUACACAGCAACUUGACUUUGGUUAAUUACUGGUGUUGUCAAGUUGACAACCAAGAAUGGACAUCAUGACUUCCAUUAUUAUGGAAGCAAAAAACCCCUAAGACCUGUAGUUAGCAAGCAUGAAUUCCAUAAGUGGUGAUAAUAUAAAUCUUGAUCUAAGAACAAAUAAAUUGAGAGCAAUGAGAAGACAAUGUUUUAGCUCAAUUCUAAAUGCAGGAAAGGCAAAAGACUCAAAUGCUCCACUUUGAAAGUUAUAGAGAAGGAAGAAGAAAGACUUCCCUGUGGUCCAUAUAGAUAAAAAUCUCUUAUAUGCAUAACCUGUCAAUAAAAAAGCAUAUGGCCUGUGAUCUGACACAGAAAAUAGGAGGUAUAACAUCCAGCAAAGAUAGAGAAGAUUCUGGGAAAUAGUGAGAUGUGGGGGAAUAUUCUCUUGGGAAACUGCUGAGACCAACAUAAACCAGCAGAUAGAUGAACUUAUGUUA